rnacentral:rRNA from 1 species
CCUACGGGUGGCAGCAGUGAGGAAUAUUGGUCAAUGGGCGCGAGCCUGAACCAGCCAAGUAGCGUGAAGGAUGACUGCCCUCCGGGUUGUAAACUUCUUUUAUAAAGGAAUAAAGUGAGGCUCGUGUGCCUUUUUGUAUGUACUUUCUGAAUAAGGAUCGGCUAACUCCGUGCCAGCAGCCGCGGUUAUACGGAGGUUCCGAGCGUUAUCCGGAUUUAUUGGGGUUAAAGGGAGCGUAGAUGGGUUGUGAAGGCAGUUGUUAAAGUUUGCGGCUCAACCGUAAAAGUGCAAUUGAGACUGGCAGCCUUGAGGACAGUUGAGGUAGGCGGAAUUCGUGGGGUAGCGGGUAAAUGCU